GAGUUUGAUCAUGGCUCAGGAUGAACGCUAGCGGCAGGCUUAACACAUGCAAGUCGAGGGGUAUAGUUCUUCGGAAUUAGAGACCGGCGCACGGGUGCGUAACGCGUAUGCAAUCUGCCUUUCACAGAGGGAUAGCCCAGAGAAAUUUGGAUUAAUACCUCAUAGUAUAACGACUCUGCAUGGAGAUGUUAUUAAAGUCACAACGGUGAAAGAUGAGCAUGCGUCCCAUUAGCUAGUUGGUAAGGUAACGGCUUACCAAGGCUACGAUGGGUAGGGGUCCUGAGAGGGAGAUCCCCCACACUGGUACUGAGACACGGACCAGACUCCUACGGGAGGCAGCAGUGAGGAAUAUUGGACAAUGGGCGCAAGCCUGAUCCAGCCAUGCCGCGUGCAGGAUGACGGUCCUAUGGAUUGUAAACUGCUUUUGCACAGGAAGAAACAACGCUACGUGUAGCGUCUUGACGGUACUGUGAGAAUAAGGAUCGGCUAACUCCGUGCCAGCAGCCGCGGUAAUACGGAGGAUCCAGGCGUUAUCCGGAAUCAUUGGGUUUAAAGGGUCCGUAGGCGGUUUAGUAAGUCAGUGGUGAAAGCCCAUCGCUCAACGGUGGAACGGCCAUUGAUACUGCUAGACUUGAAUUAUUAGGAAGUACUAGAAUAU
rnacentral:rRNA from 1 species